rnacentral:rRNA from 1 species
GUAGUCAUAUGCUUGUCUCAAAGAUUAAGCCAUGCAUGUCUAAGUAUAAACAAAUUUGUACUGUGAAACUGCGAAUGGCUCAUUAAAUCAGUUAUAGUUUAUUUGAUGUUACCUUGCUACAUGGAUAACUGUGGUAAUUCUAGAGCUAAUACAUGCAAUCAAGCCCCGACUUCCGGAAGGGGUGUACUUAUUAGAUAAAAAACCAACGCGGCUCGCCGCCCCCUUGGUGAUUCAUAAUAACUUCUCGAAUCGCAUGGCCUUGUGCCGGCGAUGCUUCAUUCAAAUAUCUGCCCUAUCAACUUUCGAUGGUAGGAUAGUGGCCUACCAUGGUUUCAACGGGUAACGGGGAAU